CCUCUUGCAAGACCAAUGAAUAAGAGGUCCCGCCUGCCCUGUGACUAUAUGUUUAACGGCCGCGGUAUUUUGACCGUGCGAAGGUAGCGCAAUCACUUGUCUUUUAAAUGAAGACCUGUAUGAAUGGCACCACGAGGGCUUAACUGUCUCCCUCUCCCAGUCAAUGAAAUUGAUCUCCCCGUGCAGAAGCGGGGAUAAAAACAUAAGACGAGAAGACCCUAUGGAGCUUAAGACGCCAAGGCAGCUCACGUUAAACACUCCCAAAUAAGGGGACAAACCAAGUGAACCUCUGCCCUAAUGUCUUUGGUUGGGGCGACCGCGGGGAAAAAUUAAACCCCCAUGUGGAAUAGGAGUACUACGCUCCUACAUCCAAGAGCUCCCGCUCUAAUAAACAGAAUUUCUGACCAACAAGAUCCGGCAAUGCCGAUCAACGGACCGAGUUACCCUAGGGAUAACAGCGCAAUCCUCUUAAAGAGCCCUUAUCGACAAGGGGGUUUACGACCUCGAUGUUGGAUCAGGACAUCCUAAUGGUGCAGCCGCUAUUAAGGGUUCGUUUGUUCAACGAUUAAAGUCCU
rnacentral:rRNA from 1 species